rnacentral:siRNA from 1 species
CUUAGUCAGACUUUUAGUCAUCC